rnacentral:rRNA from 1 species
UACGAAGGGGGCUAGCGUUGCUCGGAAUCACUGGGCGUAAAGCGCACGUAGGCGGCUUACUAAGUCAGGGGUGAAAUCCUGGAGCUCAACUCCAGAACUGCCUUUGAUACUGGUGAGCUUGAGUCCGGAAGAGGUGAGUGGAACUGCGAGUGUAGAGGUGAAAUUCGUAGAUAUUCGCAAGAACACCAGUGGCGAAGGCGGCUUACUGGUCCGGUACUGACGCUGAGGUGCGAAAGCGUGGGGAGCAAACAGG